UACGUAGGGUGCGAGCGUUGUCCGGAAUUAUUGGGCGUAAAGAGCUUGUAGGCGGUCUGUCGCGUCUGCUGUGAAAAUCCGGGACUCAACCCCGGACUUGCAGUGGGUACGGGCAGACUAGAGUGUGGUAGGGGAGACUGGAAUUCCUGGUGUAGCGGUGAAAUGCGCAGAUAUCAGGAGGAACACCGAUGGCGAAGGCAGGUCUCUGGGCCACUACUGACGCUGAGAAGCGAAAGCAUGGGGAGCGAACAGG
rnacentral:rRNA from 1 species